rnacentral:sRNA from 1 species
GCUGGGCUCAGUGGCGUAAGCCUGUAAUCUCAGCCAUUUGGGAGGCUGAGGUAGGAGGAUCAUGAGUUCAAAGCCAGCCUCAGCAACUUAGUGAGGCCCUAAGCAACUUAGUAAGACCCUAUCUCUA